CGCGUAGGCGGUUUGAUAAGUCAGAUGUGAAAGCCCAUGGCUUAACUGUGGAAGUGCAUUUGAAACUGUCAGACUUGAGUACCAGAGGGGAAAGUGGAAUUCCCGGUGUAGAGGUGAAAUUCGUAGAUAUCGGGAGGAAUACCGGUGGCGAAGGCGACUUUCUGGCUGGAUACUGACGCUGAGGCGCGAAAGCGUGGGGAGCAAACA
rnacentral:rRNA from 2 species